UACGUAGGGUGCAAGCGUUGUCCGGAUUUAUUGGGCGUAAAGAGCUCGUAGGCGGUUAGUCACGUCGGAUGUGAAAACCCGGAGCUUAACUCCGGGCCUGCAUUCGAUACGGGCUGACUAGAGUGUUGUAGGGGAGACUGGAACUCCUGGUGUAGCGGUGAAAUGCGCAGAUAUCAGGAGGAACACCGGUGGCGAAGGCGGGUCUCUGGGCAGUAACUGACGCUGAGGAGCGAAAGCGUGGGGAGCGAACAGG
rnacentral:rRNA from 1 species